rnacentral:lncRNA from 1 species
UAAACGUAAUAGGAGUCGAGGUUAGCUUAAGGGUAUGGCAUGCCAUAUAAACAGACAGAGUUCGCAGUACUGCUACCGAUACAUGAUCUAUAUUUGAGGUUAUAUAUCUGGUACCUCAUAAGCAUGGCCACAGAGCUCUGCUAUCACAGUUUUGGCCUCUGAGCCUACCGUUCGGCACCCUGUGCCUACCGAUAUAACUCCUUAUACAUGCAUUUACAUUGAUAUAUUGAAUUAAUGAUACUUGGCCCUGGUAAACGUAAUAGGAGUCGAGGUUAGCUUAAGGGUAUGGCAUGCCAUAUAAACAGACAGAGUUCGCAGUAUUGCUACCGAUACAUGAUCUAUAUUUGAGGUUACAUAUCUGGUACCUCAUAAGCAUGGCCACAGAGCUCUGCUAUCACAGUUUUGGCCUCUGAGCCUACCGUUCGGCACCCUGUGCCUACCGACAUAACUCCUUAUCUACCUAGUCGAUCCUACUAUGUGUUUAUAAGGGCUAAGAUCUUAAUUAAGAUUGAUACUUGAUUUUGUGAACUUAUUAGUGAAUGUUAACAU